UGGGGAAUAUUGCACAAUGGAGGGAACUCUGAUGCAGCGACGCCGCGUGAACGAAGAAGGCUUUCGAGUCGUAAAGUUCUUUUAUAUGGGAAGAUAAUGACGGUACCAUAAGAAAAAGCCCCGGCUAACUACGUGCCAGCAGCCGCGGUAAUACGUAGGGGUCUAGCGUUGUCCGGAAUCACUGGGCGUAAAGGGUUCGCAGGCGGAAAUGCAAGUCAGGUGUAAAAGGCAGUAGCUUAACUACUGUAAGCAUUUGAAACUGCAUAUCUUGAGAAGAGUAGAGGUAAGUGGAAUUUUUAGUGUAGCGGUGAAAUGCGUAGAUAUUAAAAAGAAUACCGGUGGCGAAGGCGACUUACUGGGCUCAUUCUGACGCUGAGGAACGAAAGCGUGGGUAGCAAACAGG
rnacentral:rRNA from 1 species